rnacentral:rRNA from 1 species
UCCGCCUACCUAGAAUAGUCUAAUUACGUAUAGUAAUUUGUAUUGCAACUAACUAACGAGUAAAAAUUUCUGCCCUUGAUCUAGCAUCUGCAACGCAGACUCUGUAAAGACGGCCUAAGUAACGGUGUACAAAUUGAGUAGAGAAGCAGCAAGGCUUAUCGAUUAUGCGCAAGUCUCUCUAUUAAAACCGAGCCGC